rnacentral:tRNA from 7 species
GCGCGUUUAGCUCAGCGGGAGAGCGCUUCCCUGACACGGAAGAGGUCACUGGUUCGAUCCCAGUAUCGCGCACGA